rnacentral:rRNA from 1 species
AACGAACGCUGGCGGCAUGCCUAACACAUGCAAGUCGAACGAGACCUUCGGGUCUAGAGGCGCACGGGUGCGUAACGCGUGGGAACCUGCCCUUAGGUUCGGAAUAACUCCCCGAAAGGGGUGCUAAUACCGGAUAAUGUCUUCGGACCAAAGAUUUAUCGCCUUUGGAUGGGCCCGCGUUGGAUUAGCUAGUUGGUAGGGUAAAAGCCUACCAAGGCGACGAUCCAUAGCUGGUCUGAGAGGAUGAUCAGCCACACUGGGACUGAGACACGGCCCAGACUCCUACGGGAGGCAGCAGUGGGGAAUAUUGGACAAUGGGCGAAAGGCUGAUCCAGCAAUGCCGCGUGAGUGAUGAAGGCCUUAGGGUUGUAAAGCUCUUUUACCCGGGAUGAUAAUGACAGUACCGGGAGAAUAAGCUCCGGCUAACUCCGUG